AUGACCCUCUCCCGCAGCGGCGAUGGCCAGAGUGGCUCCGCGAGGGCGCACUUCGUGCUGGUACCGAUGAUGGCUCAGGGCCAUACCAUCCCCAUGACCGACAUGGCACGCCUGCUGGCAGAGCAUGGCGCGCAGGUCAGCUUCAUCACCACGCCGGUCAACGCCGCUAGGUUGGAGGGCUUCGCCGCUGACGUGAAGGCGGCAGGCCUGGCGGUUCAGCUCGUGGAGCUCCACUUCCCGAGUGUAGAGUUCGGCCUACCAGAUGGGUGCGAGAACCUCGACAUGAUCCAAUCAAAGAAUUUGUUCUUGAACUUCAUGAAGGCCUGUGCCGCGCUGCAUGAGCCGCUCAUGGCGUACCUCCGUGAGCAGCAGCACUCGCCUCCUAGCUGCAUCAUAUCUGACAUGGCGCACUGGUGGACCGGUGACAUCGCAAGGGAGCUCGGCAUCCCGAGGCUCACCUUUAGUGGCUUUUGUGGCUUCUCGUCCCUUGUCAGGUACAACAUAAAGAGGCAAACCUUGUACAUCAUUUUUCACAACAAUGUAUUGGAGCAUGUCACAGAUGACAAUGAGCUCAUCACGAUCCCGGGGUUCCCUACACCGCUAGAGUUGACGAAGGCUAAGUUGCCUGGUGGAACCCUUUGUGUUCCGGGUAUGGAGCAAAUCCGUGAGAAGAUGUUUGAGGAGGAGCUGAGAUGCGAUGGUGAGAUCACUAAUAGCUUCAAAGAGCUCGAGACAUUGUACAUUGAAUCCUAUGAGCAGAUAACAAGGAAGAAGGUCUGGACGAUCGGGCCAAUGUGCCUCUGCCACCGAAACAGCAACAGAACGGCCGCAAGAGGAAACAAGGCGUCAAUGGAUGAGGCACAGUGCUUGCAAUGGCUUGAUUCAAGGAAGCCAGGCUCAGUGAUCUUUGUGAGUUUUGGAAGCCUCGCUUGCACUACACCUCAACAACUUGUUGAACUGGGACUGGGACUUGAAGCCUCCAAGAAACCGUUUGUUUGGGUGAUUAAAGCAGGAGCUAAGCUUCCAGAAGUCGAGGAAUGGCUCGCAGAUGGGUUCGAGGAGCGUGUCAGAGACAGAGGUCUGAUCAUAAGGGGCUGGGCGCCACAAGUGAUGAUCCUGUGGCACCAAGCCGUUGGAGGAUUUGUGACGCACUGUGGGUGGUGUUAA
rnacentral:rRNA from 1 species